UAUAAAGAGCAAAAAAACAAUUAUUCAAAAAAAAUAACAUAAAGUAGAAUUAUCAAAAAAGAUAAAAGAAAAAUGUUACAUACAAUGUUAAGAGGUUAAGUUGAAACAACGAUACCGGAUCAAAAUUAUCCAAGUUUGCACGUGCAACUGGCAGAGAAAUGCUUCGAUUCUGUUCUUGGUAAUUGCAUCCAUUCCUGUGGCUCACGAACGGUUAACGAACGCAACGGGUCGACUACGGGUGCAACGAGAUUAUUUUACGGUCGGCCAUUUCCAUCCGAUCUAUUUGCACGCUAAUGAACGCAUUUUGCGUAAGACUGUUUUAACGCUUAUUCGUCGUUUCCUCUCGCUACAAUUCAUGUCUACGUACCUAUAAUCGAGAUUCUCUUUGCAAUACAUCUUCUUAACCUCUUUGCCAACCAAUCUCGCAAUCGUUUAUAAUAUAGAGGGCGUUGGGCAUGCUAUGGGUAUUUGCUUAAGUCACGGAAAAUGGCGUGUCAUGUAUGUGGAUUAAUGAGUAUGUUCGAUAUUGAUUAGUUAGUUUGGUUAGUUUGGUUAGUUUGGUCGAAAUGAAGUAGAAAUUGAGGAAAUUUUGGAUGAAUAAUAGUGAAAAGAAAUAAAAUUUCGAUAUAAUUAUUUGUGAUAGAAUUUGUGAUGAUUCGUGGCAAGUGGCAAGUGACAAGUGGCAAGUGAAAAGUGUAAAUGGAAAAUAAAAAUGAUGCGUGAUUCGUUCAUAUUUGGAAAUUUUUGAAGAAACAGUUUUCAAAAAAGAAAUAUUUCUGAUUUUCAUGCUCAGUUAUUGAUGUUUGAUUUUUCAGUGAGUCUGAACCGUGGAGAAAACGAACGAGCGCUCUCUUUGCCUGUUAUGCGCUUGUUAUUCGAUGUCGAUACGCUUUAAUACACAACUCUCACAAUUAGUUUAGGUGAGCACAAUUUUCAACCGUAUCGUGCGAUGCAAAUGUAUUCAGUUUUUGUGAGCCCCAAACUGACGAGGUGGAGUACGAGGCAAAGGUUAUUAGCUACAUUACGCUAAUUGACUUUCGUCCAUGCAACACGGGCUUCACGAACAGAUGUUAUUUUAAUAAUUAUUAUAAUUAUAAUAUUAUUCGAAUAUGUAAACAACAUAUUACUAGUUGCCGCUACAAAUUUAUUAAUUUAUAAUACAUAAAUUUUCGCAUUGCCGAUAAUACUAUAAUAUUAUAAUUAAUUAAUUUAAUAUAAUAAUUUAGUUUCUAUAUUAAUCGUAAUGAUUAUGGUAUGAAAUAUUCGUUUGAUUUUAUAAAAUACAACAACGAAUAUUUGGAUUUAUAAUUUAUAAUUAAACAAACAAAAGUGAUA